GUAGGGAAUCUUCCACAAUGGACGAAAGUCUGAUGGAGCAACGCCGCGUGGAGGAUAAGGUCUUCGGAUUGUAAACUCCUGUCAUGCGUGAACAAGGUUGCUUGGAUAAUACCUGAGCAAAUUGAUGGUAGCGCAAGAGGAAGAGACGGCUAACUCUGUGCCAGCAGCCGCGGUAAUACAGAGGUCUCAAGCGUUGUUCGGAAUCACUGGGCGUAAAGGGUGCGUAGGUGGCGUGGCAAGUCAGAUGUGAAAGCCCGGGGCUCAACCUCGGAACUGCAUCCGAUACUGCCAUGCUAGAGUACUGGAGGGGUGACUAGAAUUCUCGGUGUAGCAGUGAAAUGCGUAGAUAUCGAGAGGAAUACCAAAGGCGUAGGCAGGUCACUGGACAGUUACUGACACUGAGGCACGAAGGCCAGGGGAGCGAACGGGAUUAGAAACCCGUGUAGUCC
rnacentral:rRNA from 1 species